GUGCAAACUUGAUCACUAACUCUGCAUGAUGUUGCAAAAGUGAAGGGAACCACGUUUGCUAAAGAAAUUGUGCUGAUAGAAGUGUACUUUGUUUUGUUACACUUCACAGAUACUGCAUUUUUUACAAAUAGAAGU
rnacentral:snoRNA from 1 species